rnacentral:rRNA from 1 species
GACGAACGCUGGCGGCGUGCUUAACACAUGCAAGUCGAACGGUAAGGCCCUUCGGGGUACACGAGUGGCGAACGGGUGAGAAACACGUGGGUGAUCUGCCCUGCACUUUGGGAUAAGCCUGGGAAACUGGGUCUAAUACCGGAUAGGACCGCGCACUUGAUGGUGUGUGGUGGAAAGCUUUUGCGGUGUGGGAUGGGCCCGCGGCCUAUCAGCUUGUCGGUGGGGUAAUGGCCUACCAAGGCGACGACGGGUAGCCGGCCUGAGAGGGCGUCCGGCCACACUGGGACUGAGAUACGGCCAAGACUCCUACGGGAGGCAGCAGUGGGGAAUAUUGCACAAUGGGCGCAAGCCUGAUGCAGCGACGCCGCGUGGGGGAUGACGGCCUUCGGGUUGUAAACCUCUUUCAGUAGGGACGAAGCGUGAGUGACGGUACCUGCAGAAGAAGCGCCGGCUAACUACGUGCCAGCAGCCGCCGUAAGAC